rnacentral:lncRNA from 1 species
UUUUUAUCUGUAAAUAAAAAGUCAUUAGUAGUUGAAAAACCCAUUUACAAUUGUUCUCUUGGUUAACCUUCGUAUACUCCUCAAAACCCCAAAACCCAUCAAAACCUUAGAUUAAGUCACCCAUAUCAGAUCUCAAACCAUCUCGCGCAUACCAAAUCUCGUACUAUCAUUGGUGCCCUAAUUUCUAUGAAAUUGAUACCGUUCGAUGAUUGAAUCUGUUUGGAUUGGAGCUAGAAAUCGAUUGAAUCCGUUUCAAUUGGAUUCGUGCGAGCGAAUCUGUUUCAAUUGGAGUCUGCGAGUGAAUCUGUUUCGAUUGCAUGUGUUUCGAUUGAAAACCUAGAUUCGAUCUUCGAAGAAAUCUGAUAAGAAGCUGAAACGAAUCUGAUUUUGAUUUUCAUCGAUUGGAUCAACAAUUACUGAAAAUUUGGAGAAUAAUUGAAGAUUAAGUUCUAUUGGAAGAAAUCGCUUACAAAGAUUAUGUCCAUCUCGUUAUUCUGGUUGUAGCUCUGCUAAACGCGAUAGAGAUCUCGGUGUUUUAUUAGCAGACUAUUUUAGUUCCGGCUCCCAGUUCCGGCAACGCUAGUUCCGGCUCCCGGACAUCGCUUUCAUGUCCCCUGCUCCUUGUUCCACUAAGACUAUAUAGUUUUGCCAUAUGGUUUGGUUGCUGGUUUGACUUGUAAACUUAUGGUACAACCUUAAGAAGCUAACUUACGAAGAGAGGAAACAAAAGCUUAUCGAGAGGUCGAAUGCUUUGAAUGAUGUUGCUGGAGCAAAUGAUGAUGACGAUUCAGACGAAUAUUGAUGAUUUUUGACUUUAGUUAAAUGUUUGUUAGUUUGUGGUUUAACCAUGUUAGAAGUAUGUUGAAUUCAAAACAGUUUUUGUAAUUGUUUUUGGUGAUUUUUCUUGUAAGCUUUUAGCAAAAAAAAAAAAAAAAAAAAAGCUGGAAUUUCUGGGUUUUUUUGUUUUU